GAUGAAGAACGUAGCGAAACGCGAUACGUAAUGUGAAUUGCAGAAUUCAGUGAAUCAUCGAAUCUUUGAACGCACCUUGCGCCCCUCGGCAUUCCGAGGGGCAUGCCUGUUUGAGUGUCACGGAUCCUUCGAACCCCGCCGGUCUCCGACGAGCCGGCCGCCUGGGUUCGGUCCUGGGCGCUACGCCACCCCUCCGGGGCUGGCCCGCUUCAAAAGCAUCAGCUGGGCCUCGCGGCGUGGGCGGGCUCCGAUCGGCGUGAUAAGUCAUCUGCCGAGAGGGUGCCCGUCCGUCCCGCGGAUCGCGGUCCGCUCCCAACCCCUCCCCGCGCGCCGUCCCCCCCCGGGGAGCGCGCGGGGACGUUUCGACGCUCUGGCCUCAAAUCAGGUAGGACCACCCGCUGAACUUAAGCAUAUCAAAAGCGGAGGA
rnacentral:misc_RNA from 1 species